UGGCUUCCAUUUAUGUAUUUAUGUGCAUACUUAAUGAUUUUAAUGUUUUAUUAAUGCGAGCACGUCGUUAUUGUUGUUGUUAUUUGCGUCGCAUGUGUCGGGCUCUUAAGUGACAAAUAAUUAACAGCACUUGUGCCGAAGGAUCUGCAGGAGGAGGCGAAGGAGGAGGAGCAGGAGGCGGUGGAGCAGCGCUCAAGGUGGCUGUCUAUCGAAUGCGAGCGAGUGCUCCAUAAUCUGUUUAAUGUAAUUUGCAAUUUAUAUUAACCUAUUGAAAUUUCAUUGGCCACGGAGUGGGGCGCAAAUCUCCGCCCGCGCGGCAGCUUCCGUUUCCGCUGCUUGCGCGGAAGUAAUUUGAAGGCACGUAGCUGGCAUACUUUCCUUUUCUUCUUCUUUUUUCUGAUCAUUUUUAAUAUGUUUAAUGGAAAACUCGGUUUCCCCUAGCUGACUGUUUCGGCAUCUCGUGGAUAUGGAGGGCUUGGAGGUUGCGAAUGCGGAUGCUGAUGCGGAAGCGGCUGAAGAUUCCCGGAUGAGUGAGUGCCUUCAUGGCAUCGAUUGCUCUGGAGAGCAUCAAGUGCAUUAUGAGCGUGAUUUAUUCAUAACGGUGCGCGGCGAAUGCAAAUUUUCGACAUGUAACUGCAAUUUGCAUACAUUCUUGCCAAAGCAGAGCUGACAGGGCCAAGUCAGCCCAGUCAGCCAAGUCGACUAAGCAGCGUGGUGCGACGGGUCCGUAAAAUAUUGUAUGUGAAAUGUAUGACUCACAUGUGAAAGAAGACGCCCGCACCUCCAACCCUCAACUCCGCGCACAGGCUGUCGCAUAAACGAGUUUAUGUUGCAAGUUAGUACGCGCAAUUUGCAAUUUGAUGUUCGCUUCCGACCCCCUAAAAUACCACCCCAUCGCACCCACUUUGCUCCUUGGCAAACUCACAAUCUGGGUGUAUAUACUUGCAGCAGCAUCUCGGGAAUAUGUGCGUGGCUGCAAAGUAACUCAGCAAUCCAAAUUAUGGUAAUUUAGCAAGCUCGACUGCGUGUCUUUGAGCGCGCACUUAAUCUACUUUAUGGCAGCGGAUGGGAGUGCCUCCAGCCAGCGAUUUCCAAUUCGAUUCAACUAUGUUUUGGGGGCCAAUCGGUUUAACCCGAAAACUGGCACAUCGCACACUAAAGUGCGUACAUUUGCCGGAAAAAGCAGCAAACCAACUUCCAUUUGCAGGAACACAAUCAAACUGUCAUUGGGUCGUUGAGAGCGACUCUAUUGAAACUACCGAAUUGCAUUUGGCCAGCACUCGGCACACAUCACGUAUACGCCGCUUGGGGCUGGGCUGGCACGGCAACACAUGUGUCCUGGCAAAAACAUUCACAUUAUAGGCAAAACAAAGGCCAAAUGGCAAAAACGAGCGACACACAAAAGCCAAAAAUUGCAUAUCCUGCCGGAUAGCAGAGAGCACCGAGCAGAGAACGGAGUGAGGUGGCAUCAAAAAACGAGAUCCUGAUUGACGUGACACUCUCUCGAAAGCAAAAGCCAACAAAUGGAAAAGGGAAAAUUGUUAAAUAAAUAUUCAUGUGCCAGAGCGGUGGCUGUGACCAAUUUGGCAUAAUGCUUUCUUUCUUCGCCACCAUUUUACCACCAACUCGUUUUUUUAUCGUCCAACCUGGUUAUUGAAUUAAACACCCGCUGACAGAGAGGCAGCGUAAUGUGAGCCGCCGAAAAGUCGGACCGAACAAUGAAUUAGCCAAGUUAAUGCGGGGCUUUAAAGUCCGAGGCAAAGGCUAAAAAAGAGCCAAGAAAAUGCCAGGCUUAUAAGUCUGACCCUUUUUCCUUUGUGUUUGAAUGGCUGGACGAGGAUGUGGAAUGAAAUGAGGUUGAGUGAUAAGCAAAAGGGUCGCAAUUAGUAGGUGUCCUGGUCUCCGGGUGGCCUGUUAAUAUCGAACUUCUUCGCUUUGAUAUUGAAGCACGUACGGGCCCGAAUAAUCUGGGGAUGCCAUUAAAUGCCAUGGGACGUCAACAAUUGGCCCAGUUCGGAUUGGUUUGCGCCCAAAAGUUUUGCCCUUCCGUCCAGCAUUCGAUACGCAUGAAAAUCAAACUACAAUUAGGCACAGAAUCCAAAGACGGAAAUCUGAAGCGGAGCCAAAGAGCAAAUGAAAAUGAGGAAGACACACAGAAAAAAAUGCAACUUAGUGAGGAGCCUUUUGAUUUCCGGCGGACAAACGCACAUCCAGUUCUCCAUUUGUUUUUAUGCUUAUGCUGCGGAUUGGCUGCCCCACCAGUCGCCUGACCAAUUUAGCAGAUUCCGCCACUGCUCGCCGGCCGUGACGCAUCGAAUUAUCUGCGAUCCGGGCUUAACUAAGCAGGCAGGAUAAAUGUCCUGCAGCGUCCAUCCGUCCGUCUGUCCAACUGUAUUUCCGUCCGGACGGGCGACUCCAUCAAGCUGUUGGCGGCAGGCGGCGGCGGCGAUUUGUUUAAUACUUAAUGCACAACAACAGGACGAGCGCCCCGAAAAGGGAGGCGGUCCUUUAUAAAAUAUCGCCUUCGGGUCAAGCCAGACAAGUUUGUGGGCUUUCCUUGCCGGCUCCUUUGUGUGAUUUAUUUAGUUAAGCUGUCCCAAAUCCGAGCAAUGCACAAAUCCCCGGCACACAAAUUAUGGCACCGACAGGCCGACCGGUCCAAGUUCCUUACAGCCAACUAUUUCAGUUCCAUUUCGAUGUCAGGACGUGGACUGCUCUACUGACCCCCAUCUCCUCCGGAGGACCUGUCAGCCGGGAGGAGCCGGUGGGAGUGUAUCGAAUGAGACGCACGAGCGAACAGGCUGGACCCGACUCGACCUAGGUGACAGACGCUUGACACAUGGGAAGUCCUCACCCGGACCUUUGGCAAAGUGUUAAAUCGGUCGCCACUCGGCCGGAAGGUGGAGGAUGCCGUCGUGUCCAUAACAACUCCCGACCUCAUCAAUAUCCCAGCCAAGGCGGCUGGUUAUUGGACUGCAGAUGGAAGUGGAGCUGGCACUCAUUGCUAAUGAGUUAAUUAGAUGAUUUAGGUGCCGCAUUUUCGGCGCCACAAGCGCACAUUAAUUAUAAACCCAUCCAGGGAGUUGGUUAUGAAACCCACAUAUUUACACACUCACGCAUCUAAUCGAGACGAACACUCAAGCCCUGGGGAUAAGCCGAGUCCUUGGCAUUGCCGGCUGAUUGCGGCCUUUCAUGUCUUAUGCUAUUUCAGCCUGUGUGCACGGGGAGAAAAAUGGGUACAGUUUUGUGAUACCCGUAUAUGUUUUGGUAAAUAAUGAAUCAUUAAAGCGCUUUAAGAUUAUUUCAGUGUACCUCCCUGUGGGCUCAUUAAAAUCCACAUUCAAACGUUUUGCAAAUGCGUAUUAACGAACCUUUAGCGCGAGUUCAUUAAUCGCACCGAUUUCCAACCGCAUCCUGUCCGCAGAGGCGACAUCUUGGGAGGCAGCCAGAUCUCUAAGUGGUUUCUUGCUGCCGCAUAAAUCGACCGGAAACGAGGCGACGUAUGAGGGGAUAACGGGGAUACAGUGGCGAGGAGCAAGGAGAAGAAGGAGGAGAAGGAGGCACGACUACAGUGCCUGCCAAGUGGGCCCAGUUUGCAUUGACCAUGACCGUGAACUUUGACGAGCUGGGCCUCAUAAUGAUGCCAGACAAACGUCUCGAAAUGAGCUCGCACCGGGACUGCAACCUGCUCCUGCUCCCCUUCUCACCAUCUCCACCUCCUUCUCCUCCUGGCCCCGCUGCUCCUCCUCGCUUCCGCACACCCACUUCCGGCCCACUUGAGCCGGAGCUUUUGACAUUGGCCAUCUGUAGUAGCCUUGUCAUGAGCCCACUGUGCUGCAGUCUAGAUAGAUACAGAUAAGAAUCCUUUGCGCAGAGGGUGGCCAGUUGUCACAGUUAGUCCUCCUCCAGGCGAAGGCGUGGCCAGCUCCCAUUGUCUCUGCAUUGCGCCCAUUUUAAUUUAAGCCGCUUAAAUUGCAGCAAAGCUAAGCAGCUUGCCAUUUUCAACCUAAGGCAUCCAGUCGAGCAUCGCUUUGAUUACCGAAAUUAAGCCGAAUAGAAAAAACAGAGGAGGUCCAAGCAAUUGGCCAAAACUUUGGCUUUUCCGACCGUUUUUCCCUCUUUUGUUUAAGCCAAAGAAAGUUUUGUUUGGUGUGCUCUCUGCCGGUGGGUGUAUUUUACACCAUCAAAACCACUGGCGUCAACCGAAUUUUUAACUUCAUUUAGAACUCAUUAAAAACUUUGGCAUAAUUGCAUAAAUUUGCAAAGUCAAUGGCAAACUUGUCCAGCGCUCUUAAGUGGAGGGGAAUUUGGGUGAAGAAGUUUUAUGGCAGUGGACAAAUCCUUGGAAAGUGUCUGACAUUAUUUUUAGUAUUUAAUUUAAAUUUAAUUCUUAUAACAGAAUUUAAAAGUAUUAUAAACUCAAGUCUUUCAUAAGAAAUGAAAAAGUAACCAGUUGGUAAAAGCUUUCGAUAUGUCAAACAUGGUAACUAAAAAGCUUUCAGAUCUCUAAAUAACUAUAAUGUCUAAAUAAUAUAGAAUCCAUGCAGUUUCAUAGAAAAUUCAUAGAAAAAGAAAAUUAAUAAUUAAAAUUAAAUUUCAUUUCAUUCAAACUACCCGCAAUUGAAAUAAACAUGUAUGACUUUAUUUAACAUGAUUUGGUGUGUAGUUUAUUCAUCGUUUAAAUGUUCUAUAGUUUAUACAUAUACAUGAACUAGUUUCUUUAAAUACAUAUUAUGUCAACACUUAUUGUUUCGGCUUCUGUUCAUGGUUGUUAAGUUGUCGUUGCUGAAAUGAUAGGGCCAUAUCAUAGAGGACUUCCCCAUUCACUCUUGUGACCAGAGACAACAAACAAUAUAUAUUAAUUUAUGCAACUUUAUGUAAUAUUCAUUAAUUUAGAGACGAAAAACAAACAGUAUUAUUUUAUAGAUCUUUAUACUUUUUGCAGAUUUCCACAUUUAAAACAUUAUUUGCAUUAAAGCAUUGUUUUUGCACUUAAUAUUCCAUUGUUUAGUUGAGUUGCUGUACAAAUUGUUCACAAGGUUUCGGUGCAGGGACGGGGGCAGUACGGAAAACAGGGGGGCGGGGAUUGUUUAAUACUUGUGCGAACUGGUGAAACGCCUAACGUAAGAAAAACAGGGGAGCAAACGAAAGUAACA
rnacentral:sRNA from 1 species